GGCGUGCGAGGGGGUCGCUGACUUUGUGACGGGAAAGUCGUGGGCGCCGGAACGUGUCCUCUCACAUAAAAUCCAUCUGACCCUUUUGUGGACCACCGCGUGGGCACCUUUUGGGAUCGGACCGAUCCUGGGAGGGGCUUGCGUUUUCGGCAAACCCCUUUUAGAAAAGUGUAGAAUGACCCCAUUUUGCGAUGACACGCAAUCGAUACAACUUUCAACAACGGAUCUCUUGGCUCUCGCAUCGAUGAAGAACGCAGCGAAAUGCGAUAGGUAAGGUGAAUUGCAGAAUUCAGUGAAUCAUCGAAUCUUUGAACGCACCUUGCGCCCCUUGGUAUUCCGAGGGGCACACCCGUUUGGUGUCGUGAAAAUCUCAACCUUCUCGGUUUUCUUCUGGACACCGAAGGAGGCUUGGACUUUGGAGGCCUUUGCUGGCAUCUCUCUCUUUUUGAGAGCCACCUCCUCUUAAACGAAUUAGCGGGGUCCUCUUUGCCGAUCCUCGACAUGUGAGAGGAUGUUUCCAUGACUUGGUUUCUGGCUCUGUUGCCUUUGGGACCCGCUUCUAACCGUCUCUCGACAAGACAACGUUGGGGCGUGUCUCCCUUCUCGGGAGACUCUCUCAACCCCACGAACCCUUGACCUCAAAUCGGGUGAGACUACCCGCUGAACGUGAACAUAUCA
rnacentral:rRNA from 1 species